rnacentral:rRNA from 1 species
AUAUCAUAUGCUUGUCUCAAAGACUAAGCCAUGCAUGUCUAAGUAUAAGUAUUAUACAGCGAAACUGCGAAUGGCUCAUUAAAACAGUUAUAGUUUAUUUGAUAAUCGAAUUUACAUGGAUAACCGUGGUAAUUCUAGAGCUAAUACAUGCUGGUAAGCCUGACUUUUGUGGAAGGGCGGUAUUUAUUAGAUAACAAGCCAAUAUUCCUCUGGUCUAUUGUGGUGACUCAUGAUAACUGAUCGAAUCGCAAGGCCUAUGGCCGCGAUAAAUCAUUCAAGUUUCUGCCCCAUCAGCUUUAGAUGGUAGUGUAUUGGACUACCAUGGCGUUAACGGGUAACGGAGGAUUAGGGUUCGAUUCCGGAGAGGGAGCCUGAGAAACGGCUACCACAUCUAUGGAAGGCAGCAGGCGCGUAAAUUACCCAAUCCUGAUUCAGGGAGGUAGUGACAAGAAAUGGCAGACCGAGGCCUCUGGCUUCGGGAUUGCACUGAGCCGAAUUUACACCCCUUAGCGAAGAUCGAUUG